rnacentral:rRNA from 1 species
CUGGCUCAGAACGAACGCUGGCGGCGUGCUUAACACAUGCAAGUCGAACGAGAACGUCCUUCGGGACAAGUAGAGUGGCGAACGGGUGAGUAACGCGUGGGUAAUCUACCCUUGGGUGGGGGAUAACUUUGGGAAACUGAAGCUAAUACCGCAUACGACAGAGAUGGGAAAGGUGGGGAUCUUCGGACCUGCCGCCCUUGGAUGAGCCCGCGUAUCAUUAGGUAGUUGGUAGGGUAAAGGCCUACCAAGCCGAAGAUGAUUAGCUGGUCUGAGAGGAUGAUCAGCCACACUGGGACUGAGACACGGCCCAGACUCCUACGGGAGGCAGCAGUGGGGAAUAUUCCGCAAUGGAGGAAACUCUGACGCAGCAACGCCGCGUGUGUGAAGAAGGCCCUCGGGUCGUAAAGCACUGUUGAGUAGGAAGAGACGAUUGCGGUUAAUAGCCGCGGUCCCGACGGUACUACUUUAGAAAGCACCGGCUAACUCCGUGCCAGCAGCCGCGGCAAUACGGAGGGUGCAAGCGUUGUUCGGAAUUAUUGGGCGUAAAGGGCGCGUAGGCGGGCCAUUAAGUCUGAUGUGAAAUCCCUCGGCUCAACCGAGGACGUGCAUUGGAAACUGAUGGUCUUGAGUCCUGGAGAGGAAAGCGGAAUUCCCAGUGUAGAGGUGAAAUUCGUAGAUAUUGGGAGGAACACCAGCGGCGAAGGCGGCUUUCUGGACAGUGACUGACGCUGAGGUGCGAAAGCGUGGGUAGCAAACAGGAUUAGAUACCCUGGUAGUCCACGCC